rnacentral:rRNA from 1 species
UUGCCUCAGUAACGGCGAGUGAAGCGGCAAUAGCUCAAAUUUGAAAUCUGGCUUCGGCCCGAGUUGUAAUUUGUAGAGGAUGCUUCGGCUUACGUACCGGUCUAAGUUCCUUGGAACAGGACGUCACAGAGGGUGAGAAUCCCGUUUGUGGCCGGCACUUCCGCCAUGUGAAGCUCCUUCGACGAGUCGAGUUGUUUGGGAAUGCAGCUCUAAAUGGGAGGUAAAUUUCUUCUAAAGCUAAAUACCGGCCAGAGACCGAUAGCGCACAAGUAGAGUGAUCGAAAGAUGAAAAGCACUUUGGAAAGAGAGUUAAAAAGUACGUGAAAUUGUUGAAAGGGAAGCGCUUGCGACCAGACUUGCCCGCGGAUGCUCAACCGGUCCUUCGGCCGGUGCACUCUUCCGCGGUCAGGCCAGCAUCAGUUCGGGCGGUCGGAUAAAGGCCUUGGGAAUGUGGCUCUCUUCGGGGAGUGUUAUAGCCCUUGGUGCAAUACGGCCCGCCUGGACUGAGGCCCGCGCUUCUGCUAGGAUGCUGGCGUAAUGGUCGUAAGCGGCCCGUCUUGAAACACGGACCAAGGAGUCUAACAUCUAUGCGAGUGUUUGGGUGUCAAACCCGUGCGCGAAAUGAAAGUGAACGGAGGUGGGAACCUUAGGGUGCACCAUCGACCGAUCCUGAUGUCUUCGGAUGGAUUUGAGUAAGAGCAUAGCUGUUGGGACCCGAAAGAUGGUGAACUAUGCCUGAAUAGGGUGAAGCCAGAGGAAACUCUGGUGGAGGCUCGCAGCGGUUCUGACGUGCAAAUCGAUCGUCAAAUUUGGGUAUAGGGGCGAAAGACUAAUCGAA